rnacentral:rRNA from 1 species
AUACGGAGGGGGUUAGCGUUGUUCGGAAUUACUGGGCGUAAAGCGCGCGCAGGCGGGCUGAUAAGUUGGAUGUGAAAGCCUACGGCUCAACCGUAGAACUGCAUCCAAAACUGUCAGUCUAGAGUGUGGGAGAGGAAGAUGGAAUUAGUUGUGUAGGGGUAAAAUCCGUAGAGAUAACUAGGAAUACCAAGAGCGAAGGCAAUCUUCUGGAACACUACUGACGCUGAGGCGCGAAAGCGUGGGGAGCAAACAGGAUUAGAUACCCUAGUAGUCC